AACGAACGCUGGCGGCAUGCCUAACACAUGCAAGUCGAACGAGACCUUCGGGUCUAGUGGCGCACGGGUGCGUAACGCGUGGGAACCUGCCCUUAGGUUCGGAAUAACUCCCCGAAAGGGGUGCUAAUACCGGAUAAUGUCUUCGGACCAAAGAUUUAUCGCCUUUGGAUGGGCCCGCGUUGGAUUAGCUAGUUGGUAGGGUAAAAGCCUACCAAGGCGACGAUCCAUAGCUGGUCUGAGAGGAUGAUCAGCCACACUGGGACUGAGACACGGCCCAGACUCCUGCGGGAGGCAGCAGUGGGGAAUAUGGGACAAUGGGCGAAAGCCUGAUCCAGCAAUGCCGCGUGAGUGAUGAAGGCCUUAGGGUUGUAAAGCUCUUUUACCCGGGAUGAUAAUGACAGUACCGGGAGAAUAAGCUCCGGCAAACUCCGU
rnacentral:rRNA from 1 species